rnacentral:rRNA from 1 species
UACAGGGGGUGCAAACGUUGCUCGGAAUUAUUGGGCGUAAAGCGCACGUAGGCGGUUCGUUAUGUCGGAUGUGAAAGCCCUUGGCUCAACUGAGGAAGUGCAUCCGAAACUGGCGAGCUAGAGUAUGUAAGAGGGUCGCGGAAUUCCCGGUGUAGAGGUGAAAUUCGUAGAUAUCGGGAGGAACACCGGUGGCGAAGGCGGCGACCUGGGACAAUACUGACGCUGAGGUGCGAAAGCCAGGGGAGCGAACGGG